CAGUCCAUACAUAUUUCAGAUAUUCCCCACUUGGUAGGGCUUCCUGCCUGGUUCUUCCCUCUGCACCUGCAAUUUCCUUAUGCAACAUCUGACUGUCCUAGAGGUAUCUUUUAGUUCUUCAACUGUUUUCAUGAAACUAUGUCUUGAUCUGUGCCAAGUUUCUGUUAAGUCUUCAUAUCCAUACACAAGAUGCAGCGGGUUUUUUGGCACCUUUGUCUUCUGUGUGAUGGAUGCAACUUCACAUCCACCUGCUGGUAGAGCUAUUCCAUUCAACGCAUACCAGGUCAUCCGAUAUGUUGUGCCUGCCGCCUGAACUGCAUGUUCAGUAGCCAUAUGUACCAAAACUUUCAAACUUAUGUAUCUACAUCUACAUACCAUACAUGACAACCACCUACAUCAUGAGGCUAGCACUUGAAUGAUGUCAUGAUUGGAUCCCUUUAGAUGGCACUGACAGGAGGCUGCCACACCUCCAGUAUGCAGAAGACCCAUUGACCUAGUACUUUGGACUCGGCAAGAAGAGUUGAUGAUUACUUGAAGUGGAACAUCAUGCAUGCUUGGAAAAUAUGUCCAUGGUAGUCUAGAAACACUGGCAGUUGCUGGGGAUUGAGAACUGUGCAGAGAUUAGUUUUGGUAGUUGUGAUGGUCGGUAUAAAAAUGUCAUAAAAUGACAUCACAAGAGGUUGUUCAUUGAUGAAGGCCAAGUUUUUCAAUUACAAAUCACCAAAAUUUAUGACGGUGAUUAACAGCUGGAAAAAACUGUUUCAUUGAGACGCAACACACAGAAUUUUCCGCCACACACUAAAAAAAAAUCAAUUAGAAUUAUAACUCAACCUUGAGGCAUAUAAUUCAUCAAGUUUUAUGCACUGUAAAUUAAUAUUUCUUUGAAAUGGGGUACUGCGUUUGUACACCAUGUCUUUCAACUUAUUCUUGUGCAUUUGAAAUGAAUGAAGUGUGGAUAGGUACUGAUCAAGUAACUCCAGUGGUGCUAUUGUGACCAUCAUGUGAACUGAUUCACUGGUUCAUUCGACUAAUUGAAUCAAAUAUUGCUUGUCAAGAAUAGUUGAUCCGUUUUUGGUUAUAGAAUUCAUAUCGCUACGCGAAGACAAACGCACAUAAUUCUGAAUCAAAAUGGGUGUGUUUUCCACAAUCGUCUGCUUGUCAACUGCUGUACUGCUUUUGAGCGAUAACACUGUUAUUGCACUUGUUCCAGCCAGUGAUUAUAUAUUGACAGGCUAUGUUGUAAAUAUUUAUUAUCUAACCCACUUUUCAUAUAAUCCUAACGUCGCGCCGUGUUUCGUAGCCAUGCAACACGAAAAUGCGAAUGAUAAAGAAUUGUUUAGCUAUAAUGAUAUGUAUCACGAAGUUUUCUCCAUCGGAAUUUGUAGAUUCGCGGAAAGAGCCAAAACACAACGUGAUAAAGUGCACUUUUGGGCUCAAAAACACCCUAAGCUUGGCGAGGAUAAAAGAUACAAUAACUUCGGAAUCGGCAUGCAGAAGGCAUUCACAGGUUCCAGGUUCCCGACGAAGUACUCAUAGCAACUGACAUUGAAAGUUGAUGAUUAUAAGCGUUUUACAUUUAGCAUCUUGAUCGAGAUUUAGUAGUGUUUUUCUCAAUUCACAGAACAAAAAAACAUAAUUAGUAAAAAAAAAAAGAUGUGCUUUCUUAGGCUAGUAUUAUCUGCCCCUAUUUGAGAUGAAUCAGCAGACCACUCACAAACAGUUUGGAGUGUUGCAAAAAAACCAACAUUUAAACUUGAUUUCUGUUACCAUAAUGUAUGUACAUAAUUAUAUAAAAUUGAUGGAAGCCAUGUAGGAACAAGAAAUGAAUUUGUAUAAUUGUUUGAACAAUUCACAUUAUUUAUCCAUGUAAUUAUAUAAAUGCAAAUUAUUGUUGAAA